rnacentral:lncRNA from 1 species
UAACAAGUGAAGGACAUCGAAUGUAAAAGAAGAAGGAAAAAGAUAUAGAUAUCCAUUAAAGGCGGAAAAUAUAAGAUGGGAAAAAAUUAUAAUUAAGCUGGACAAGAUAGUGGCCCACCCGAUGCCUGUGCUGGGGUGGGAAGAUGCGGCAUCUGGUCCUCUAUGAGCUGAAGUAGAGCUGGGGGUAACGUAUUCACCCGACACGGAGUUUCUCCUAUGCGUGGUGGGGAAGGGAUUCGCACUUACUGCUUUCUAUAUCGAACAUUCACUCAGUGGGGUGAGGAUCCUCAUGGUCACGUCCAAAGGGAUUGCUAGGUC